CGCAAUGGGCGAAAGCCUGACGGAGCAACCCCGCGUGAGGGAGGAAGGUCUUUGGAUUGUAAACCUCUUUUCUCAAGGAAGAAGUUUUGGCGGUACUUGAGGAAUCAGCCUCGGCUAACUCCGUGCCAGCAGCCGCGGUAAUACGGGGGAGGCCAGCGUUAUCCGGAAUUAUUGGGGGUAAAGCGUCCGCAGGUGGUCAGCCAAGUUCGCCGUCAAAUCAGGUUGCUUAACGACCUAAAGGCGGUGGAAACUGGCAGACUAGAGAGCCGUAGGGGUAGCAGGAAUUCCCAGUGUAGCGGUGAAAUGCGUAGAGAUUGGGAAGAACCUCGGUGGGGAAAGCGUGCUACUGGGCUGUGUCCGCCACUCGGGGGCGAAAGCUG
rnacentral:rRNA from 1 species